CUGCCCUCAAGCGCGGCUUGUGUGUUGGGUGUGGUCCCCCUCUCAUGGGGGGACCUGCCCGAAAGGCAGCGGCGACGUUCCGCCUAGGUCCUCGAGCGUAUGGGGCUUUGUCACCCGCUCGGGAUGGACCUGCGGGGCGUUGGUCAUCCACCAUUUCUUCCAC
rnacentral:misc_RNA from 1 species